CUUCCUCAGACGGUGCUUCGAGUGGCAUCGCCGGCACCGACAGUGAGAUAACCGACUCAUAGCCCGAUGCACGUUCGGAGUCGGGCCGCGCUGCCGCCGUCGCGAUGUCGGCCGGGGAUGCUAUCUGAGACCUCUUGGGAGGCCGCAAGGGUCCGGCCCCGGGCGCCGGCCUCUUCCUCGCCACAUGUUGCCGAAUGUCGGCAUCCGUCAGCCUCACCCUCACCCUCGACGGCAUGCC
rnacentral:lncRNA from 1 species